rnacentral:rRNA from 1 species
UGAGGAAUAUUGGUCGAUGGACGGAAGUCUGAACCAGCCAAGUAGCGUGCAGGAUGACGGCCCUAUGGGUUGUAAACUGCUUUUGUAUGGGGAUAAAGUUAGGGACGUGUCCCUAUUUGCAGGUACCAUACGAAUAAGGACCGGCUAAUUCCGUGCCAGCAGCCGCGGUAAUACGGAAGGUCCAGGCGUUAUCCGGAUUUAUUGGGUUUAAAGGGAGCGUAGGCUGGAGAUUAAGUGUGUUGUGAAAUGUAGACGCUCAACGUCUGAAUUGCAGCGCAUACUGGUUUCCUUGAGUACGCACAACGUUGGCGGAAUUCGUCGUGUAGCGGUGAAAUGCUUAGAUAUGACGAAGAACUCCGAUUGCGAAGGCAGCUGACGGGAGCGCAACUGACGCUUAAGCUCGAAGGUGCGGGUAUCAAACAGGAUUAGAUACCCUGGUAGUCCGCACAGUAAACGAUGGAUGCCCGCUGUUGGUACCUGGUAUCAGCGGCUAAGCGAAAGCAUUAAGCAUCCCACCUGGGGAGUACGCCGGCAACGGUG